rnacentral:tRNA from 1 species
GCCCACAACUCGUCUGGCUCAGUUGGUAGAGCGUAAGGCUGUUAACCUAGUGGUCAUGGGUUCGAGCCCACGGUGGGCU